GUGCUUGCUUCGGCAGCACAUAUACUAAAAUUGGAACGAUACAGAGAAGAUUAGCAUGGCCCCUGCACAAGGAUGACACCCAAAUUCGUGAAGCAUUCCAUAUUUUU
rnacentral:snRNA from 1 species